AAGGGCUGCAAAAGACACCAAACCUCUGAGAAAUGGGUCUGGAAACCACAUGUAUAAAGAGCUGAGGGCGGGGGGGCUGGUGGGGACACGAUAGUGCACGUUAUGUACGUGGUAAUUUUUUUUAACUUCACAUUAUUUAUUAGCUUAACUUUUCUUUUCCUUCCCUCUCCUCCCCUCAUUUGAAGAGCUAAUACAUGCAAAGUUAUGACCUCCAUGUCUGGAACAGACAUGGAAACAGCCUCUUCUGUUUGAUGAGAAUCAUCCCAAAGUUGGCAUAUGAACCUUGAGUUUCAAGUAUGGAUGCUGAGCUCUUGACAAUGGCAGGAGUAGAAGUCCUUGCUCUGUAAUGGGGGCUGCACGUAUUGACUUCCUUCCAAAGAGUAUGGAAACGGAGAAAAAUAAGGUUACCGUGGAAAAACUUUUACAGUGAAAAGCACUGCUUCAGCAAGGUGAUCAAGGUUAGCAUCAACAGUGAUGAAUCAUGCUGAUGCUGUGUACCCCUGAUAUGAUAUGGUGAGAAUGGCACUUUACCUCUCCCAUAACCCCCAUAACCUGGUCUAACCAUGAGGAAAACAUCAAACAAAUUCCUAUUGAGGGACAGUCUGCAAAAUAUCUGAGCAGUACUCAAACUGUCUGGGUGAUCACAAAAUAAGGAAACUCUGAGAACGUGUCAUGUCCAAAUGGAGCCUACAGGAGAGAGGAUGACUAAACGUAAUGGGCUGUGCUGGAUGGGAUCCUGGAACAGGAAAGUAUGUUAAGGAAAAACUAAGGAAAUUGCACUAAACAAUGGACCUUGAUUAAUAAUAAUGUAUCAAUACUGAUUCAUCAAUUGUGACAGUGUAUCAGACUAAUGUAAGAUAUUAAGAAGGCAAACUGAGCGUGAGGUAUGAGGGAACUCUCUGUACUAUCUUUGUAAUAUUUUUUAUAAGUCUAAAACUAUUCUAAAAUUAAAAGUUUACUGUUGUAAAAAAAUGACAUCUCAAACAUUAAUAUUUCGUUUCAAGUUCUCA
rnacentral:lncRNA from 1 species